rfam:Rhabditophanes sp. KR3021 genome assembly, scaffold: RSKR_contig0000037
CCGACCAUAGCUCAGUUGGUAGAGCGGAGGACUGUAGAGUCAGCACUGUUAUCCUUAGGUCACUGGUUCAAAUCCGGUUGGUCGGA